UAGAACUGAACAGUUUUUAUAGUGUAUAUUCACAGAGUGUAAAAAAGUCAUUCUUCAGGCGCAUGUCGGUGUUAAUGAAUAAUAUGUGGAAUACCAGAGCUACAUAAAUGACAGAAACAAGGUGAACUUACAAGGUCACCAGCUGAACUCAUUGGUGUUGACACCCUGGAUGAUAGCGUAUUGUCCCCAAUGACACGUCCACAAGGCCGGGCGGCUAUACUCUCCACCUGCCCUGUGGGGGUGACAGGCACCUUUUAGGCCUUAGUUAAGCCGAUCUUCCGCAGGCGAUGUCCACCACAGCCGUUCGGAACACAAAUGGUACGCACAAACAUCCCUCAUCUACCGUAUCAGCAAUUAAAGAAAUCACACUACACACGCAACAUGCUGCCCGGCAGUCUUUUAAGCAUUUACGCAGCGGCUUUGAAUACCACGCAUUCUCAAAUCUAGUUGGCGCAGUUGUCACAGGUGUAUGGCAGUGCUCUGUUCACAGUGUGUGGGUGGAUGGAUUUUAUAUUAGCUCAAAUCUUCUUUGGAGCAGUUUCUGUAUGUAGCUCUAUAUGCAAAAGCUGUAUUUUUAUUGUAGCGAUAACAUGAGAGGAUAUGGCAAUCAAAUUAUUCAUUUCUUCUUUUCUGAAUAUUGCAUUGGUGUUCCCUCAGUAACACUAUUAUCUGUUUUACAAGGCAUAAACGAUAUCAGCAGAUUUUUAUGAGGUCAUAUUCAUAUCUGUGGUCAGAGUGACAGAUGUAGGAUGUGAAUGAUAUGACCAGGAUCCGACUUCGUUUUAGAUUUGGUGAGAUAUGUUUGGUUUUGAAAGUCAAGCUCUCCUAAAAAUCAUGUCUUUUCAGUUGACGAUCAAUCAGAGAGUGAUGUGAAAGAUUGCUAGAUUUCUUUAUCACACUUCUUUUUCCUGCAGUUUCAGGGGUUGAGAGUUUUCAUGUGGUGGGUUAGUGUAGUGAGGUGUUAUUCUGACUCAUCCUGUGCAAAUGUUUUAUCUAUACAUUAGAGAUUUUCCAUCAGUAACGAUGAUCUCUUAAGCUAUAUACCUUCAGCUAUAUGCAGCUGUGAUAGUUUCAGUGUGUGCUCUCUCUUUCCACAACAACGUAUGACUCUCGUCUCAGUGUUACGGAGGGGAGAGGAGGACAUAGAGCCCACGGAAACCUGAGCACGCCUAAUGCUCUGAUGGACCCAAACCAUGCUUGCACUCCAUCAGUCAUGAUAUGCGGUACCCUUGUUGUCAAAGCAGCUCUUGUAAAAUGUCAAGUCUCACUUCCUUUUCCUAUUUACUUCAUUUUGAACUUUACUCUAAUUUAUUAAAAUAAAUAAUUAACACUGCAAGCCUAAAUGUGCCUGUUUUAUUUUGUAAUUUUAUUGUCUUCAAAUAAAUAAUUUUCCUAUUCUAA